ensembl:misc_RNA Metazoa_SRP Metazoan signal recognition particle RNA
GCCAGGUGUCGUGGUGGGCACCUGUAAUCCCAGCUACUCGGGAGGCUGAGGCAGGAGAAUAGCUUGAACCCAGGAGGCAGAGGUUGCAGUGAGCCAAGAUUACGCCACUGCACUCCAGCCUGGGUGACAGAGCCAGACUCUGUCUCAA